rnacentral:rRNA from 1 species
GACGAACGCUGGCGGCGUGCUUAACACAUGCAAGUCGAACGGUGAAGCGCCUUCCUUUUUGGUGGGUGUGGAUGAGUGGCGAACGGGUGAGUAACACGUGAGUAACCUGCCCCCUUCUUCUGGAUAACCGCAUGAAAGUGUGGCUAAUACGGGAUAUUCUGGGUCUGUCGCAUGAUGGGUCUGGGAAAGAUAUUGUUUCGGUGGGGAUGGGCUCGCGGCCUAUCAGCUUGUUGGUGGGGUGAUGGCCUACCAAGGCGGUGACGGGUAGCCGGCCUGAGAGGGUGGACGGUCACACUGGGACUGAGACACGGCCCAGACUCCUACGGGAGGCAGCAGUGGGGAAUAUUGCACAAUGGGCGCAAGCCUGAUGCAGCGACGCCGCGUGAGGGAUGGAGGCCUGCGGGUUGUGAACCUCUUUCGCCAGUGAAGCAGGCCUGCCUCGUUUGUGGGUGGGUUGACGGUAGCUGGAUAAGAAGCGCCGGCUAACUACGUG